rnacentral:piRNA from 1 species
UCACAGAGGUAGGUUUAACCACAUCACAAGU